UACAGAGGGUGCAAGCGUUGUCCGGAAUCACUGGGCGUAAAGGGCGCGUAGGCGGCCUGAUAAGUAGGGGGUGAAAUCUUGCGGCUCAACCGCAAGGCUGCCUUCUAAACUGUCAGGCUGGAGCACGGUAGAGGCAGAUGGAAUUCCCGGUGUAGCGGUGGAAUGCGUAGAGAUCGGGAGGAACACCAGUGGCGAAGGCGGCUCUCUGGCCUGUAACUGACGCUGAGGCGCGAAAGCGUGGGGAGCAAACAGG
rnacentral:rRNA from 1 species